rnacentral:rRNA from 1 species
AUGGUUGACCUAGAAAGUCUGGAAUUUCAUUUCGAAGAUGAGGAUUACCAACAGGAAAAGGGCAUUCAACAAUUCCGUAUCGAUGAUGAUUAUUGUAAAGUGUAUGAUCCAGGAUCACUCAAGGAAAUCCAACCAAUUGCUAGCCACGAUUCUAAAGAGCCUGGUCCAGGCCCAGUGAAGCUUAUGACAUCACCUCGUGUGCUCCAAAACGAAGUGGAAUUCCUGCAAAUGUACCAUCUGCUUGUGAUGUCUGCAGUUGCCAUUGUUUUGUUUUUACAAGCCCUGCGGUCUGAAGUUAUAACGGGAUUCAAAAAUACAGUUACGAUAAGCUAUGUGGAGGAUUUCGGUGUGGUCAUUUUCGUUUCGGUGUUGGUGCUGCAAUUAGUGCUGAGGUACUCUAGGAGGAGUAUAUUUUGCGGUGUUUGGACCUGCAACGCAACUGCUGCUAUGGUGCUACAACAUUAUGCUCUCUUACUACUGAUCAACAGAAGGUAUAUCAGAAUUGCUAUCAUACCUGUUAUUAUCCUUGUCUUCAUAGGUGCACUUGCCAACAAAUUUAAGGAGAAUCCUAGUAUUCAGUACAACAGCAGUGAACAGGUUCCAUCUGAAAACGGCAUUAAGAGUACCGAGGAUCGGAGGAAAAUGGCAAUGAUUCCUUGUUGUUUGCAGCUAUCAUUCGUGAUAUGGACUCAACUCAGUGGACAACAAGGCGGCACUUUCGUUUUCUCUCACUUCCCUGUAUUCAUCAACUCGUCUCUAGGCACACUAGCAGUGAUGGUAGCCGCACCGCCUAUUGGAGCCAGUCAUGGUGUCGUAAAGGUGCUGCCAGUGCUGCAUAAGUCCUGUCUUAUAAUGCUACUCAUAACAACAUGGACAAUCGUCACAGAAUGGCUAGGGGAGGGCAUCAUACUUGUCUGCAUGCCAGAGUUCGUGGCACUGCUUCUAUGGUUCACUAAUCCCUUUGACCAUGCUAGUCGCACAGUGAGCUUCAAUACUGCCACAUCGCGCAUAUUAGGAGUACUCGUUCCAAAUUCACUCGCAGUACUUCUGUCAUUUGCCUAUGACCGUAAAAUAUUGGCUUCAUGGUACAGAAGCGGGCUUUACAUCUCUAGCUCUUCGUGUGCUCUAUCCUACUUGCACAUGUGGAUGCUACCUCAAUGGCCGGGAAGGACAUCAAACUCGAAUGCACCAAUCAAACUGCUCAAAUAUUCCGUGGAAAUUUGCUUUCAUUCAACACUUAUGUUGGCUGCAUGCUCAAUUUUUCAAGGGAUAAUUGUGGUAACCUUGUCACCCAAUGAAAUUCUAAAGGAAGCAAAAUAUAUUCUGUAUGCAGUAAUGAUAAUAUUUGGAAUGGGAGGAGUAUACCUUUCUCGGGUGACUAACACUACUGGACAAUACGACAUAUUUUGGAUUAAGCUGAGACCGAUCAUACUACUAUAUUUCCGUCUUAUCCAUAUUAUGCGAAUCCGGAGGUUGCGAUUCUUUGAAAAGAUAGCUGGGAUCGCAUGUACUGAGAGUUCUUUGGCGAGAAAGAAUGUGUAG